rnacentral:rRNA from 1 species
CCUACGGGUGGCAGCAGUGAGGAAUAUUGGUCAAUGGACGAGAGUCUGAACCAGCCAAGUAGCGUGAAGGAUGACUGCCCUAUGGGUUGUAAACUUCUUUUAUAUGGGAAUAAAAUGUUCCACGUGUGGGAUUUUGUAUGUACCAUAUGAAUAAGGAUCGGCUAACUCCGUGCCAGCAGCCGCGGUAAUACGGAGGAUCCGAGCGUUAUCCGGAUUUAUUGGGUUUAAAGGGUGCGUAGGUGGAUUGUUAAGUCAGUUGUGAAAGUUUGCGGCUCAACCGUAAAAUUGCAGUUGAAACUGGCAGGCUUGAGUACAGUAGAGGUGGGCGGAAUUCGUGGUGUAGCGGUGAAAUGCUUAGAUAUUACGCAGAACUCCGAUUGCGAAGGCAGCUCACUGGACUGCAACUGACACUGAGGCUCGAAAGUGUGGGUAUCAAACAGGAUUAGAUACCCCAGUAGUC